AUUUCUAUAUUUUAUAUUUAUAUAGUUUAUAUAAAACAUUACACUUUCAUUGUAAAAUUAAAUUUAUUUAUUUUAUAA
rnacentral:tRNA from 1 species